rnacentral:ncRNA from 2 species
CGACAUUCCGAGGGGGGCACCGAACGGUGCUGAGAUGGGCGUUGAGCCCGGACCCUUGAACCUGAUCCGGGUCAUACCGGCGUAGGAACGGAAAACAGGUGUCCG